GCUCGGUUAGCUCAGUUGGUUAGAGCGUCGUACUAAUAUUAUGUCCUACAUAACAUUGGUAAUGCGAAGGUCAUGAGUUCGACCCUCAUACUGAGCA
rnacentral:tRNA from 1 species